rnacentral:tRNA from 1 species
AUUUAUAUAGUUUAAAAAAAACAUUAUAUUUUCAAUAUAAAAUUAAUUUCUCAUUUAUAAAUA